AAGGCUGAGGCGUGAUGACGAGGCACUACGGUGCUGAAGCAACAAAUGCCCUGCUUCCAGGAAAAGCCUCUAAGCAUCAGGUAACAUCAAAUCGUACCCCAAACCGACACAGGUGGUCAGGUAGAGAAUACCAAGGCGCUUGAGAGAACUCGGGUGAAGGAACUAGGCAAAAUGGUGCCGUAACUUCGGGAGAAGGCACGCUGAUAUGUAGGUGAAGCGACUUGCUCGUGGAGCUGAAAUCAGUCGAAGAUACCAGCUGGCUGCAACUGUUUAUUAAAAACACAGCACUGUGCAAACACGAAAGUGGACGUAUACGGUGUGACGCCUGCCCGGUGCCGGAAGGUUAAUUGAUGGGGU
rnacentral:rRNA from 1 species